rnacentral:rRNA from 1 species
AUUGAACGCUGGCGGCAGGCCUACCACAUGCAAGUCGAACGGAGUGGCGGACGGGUGAGUAAUGUCUAGGAAUCUGCCUGGUAGAGGGGGAUACUGACCGUUAACGGGCGCUAAUACCGUAUACUCUCAUAUCUGCCUAGGUCGGAUUAGCUAGUGGGUGGGGUAAAGGCCAACCAAGGCGACGUACCGUAACUGGUCUGAGAGGAUGACCAGGCACACUGGAACUGAGACACGGUCCAGACUCCUACGGGAGGCAGCAGUGGGGAAUAUUGGACAAUGGGCGAAAGCCUGAUGCAGGCAUGCCGCGUGUGUGAAGAAGGUCUUCGGAUUGUAAAGCACUUUAAGUUGGGAGGCGUUACCAACAGAAUAAGCACCGGCUAACUCCGUGCCAGCAGCCGCGGUAAUAC